rnacentral:rRNA from 1 species
GACGAACGCUGGCGGCGUGCCUAACACAUGCAAGUCGAGCGAAUGAAGUUCCUUCGGGAAUGGAUUUAGCGGCGGACGGGUGAGUAACACGUGGGCAACCUGCCUCAUAGAGGGGAAUAGCCUCCCGAAAGGGAGAUUAAUACCGCAUAAGAUUGUAGUACCGCAUGAUACAGCAAUUAAAGGAGCAAUCCGCUAUGAGAUGGGCCCGCGGCGCAUUAGCUAGUUGGUGAGGUAAUGGCUCACCAAGGCGACGAUGCGUAGCCGACCUGAGAGGGUGAUCGGCAAAAUUGGGACUGAGACACGGCCCAGACUCCUACGGGAGGCAGCAGUGGGGAAUAUUGCACAAUGGGGAAACCCUGAUGCAGCAACGCCGCGUGAGUGAUGACGGCCUUCGGGUUGUAAAGCUCUGUCUUCAGGGACGAUAAUGACGGUACCUGAGGAGGAAGCCACGGCUAACUACGUG